GCGGGCGUCGUAUAGUGGCUAUUAUGUAACCUUGCCAAGGUUAAGACGGCAGUUCGAUUCUGCUCGCCCGCUCCA
rnacentral:tRNA from 1 species